AUUGAACGCUGGCGGAAUGCUUUACACAUGCAAGUCGAACGGCAGCACGGACUUCGGUCUGGUGGCGAGUGGCGAACGGGUGAGUAAUGUAUCGGAACGUGCCCAGUCGUGGGGGAUAACGUAGUGAAAAUUACGCUAAUACCGCAUACGAUCUAUGGAUGAAAGCGGGGGAUCGCAAGACCUCGCGCGAUUGGAGCGGCCGAUAUCAGAUUAGGUGGUUGGUGGGGUAAAGGCCCACCAAGCCAACGAUCUGUAGCUGGUCUGAGAGGUCGACCAGCCACACUGGAACUGAGACACGGUCCAGACUCCUACGGGAGGCAGCAGUGGGGAAUUUUGGACCAUGGGCGAAAGCCUGAUCCAGCCAUUCCGCGUGCAGGAUGAAGGCCCUCGGGUUGUAAACUGCUUUUGUACAGAACGAAAAGGUUUCUACUAAUACUAGGAGCUCAUGACGGUACUGUAAGAAUAAGCACCGGCUAACUACGUGCCAGCAGCCGCAGUAA
rnacentral:rRNA from 1 species